GGAUUUUCCAGGGUGCGAUCAAUAAAUCACUGCCGCCACUACUGCUACUGCUGCUACCACUGCUGCUAAACAGGCGAGACAAAUGCAAUUCUUCGUAUCUGCUAAGAGGCAUGAUGAUCCAAAGACAGUCAGGCACCUUGUGAGGGCAGAGGGACGACGGCAGCUGUAGUGUGUCUUGUCCUCCUGCUGCUGGUUGCAGGAGUGUUGGCGUUUCUGCUGUGGAGGAAACACAGGCACAAUAACAGAGGAGAGAGGCUGCACGAACACUUGGAUGACACCAUUUAAAAAAAGGCCUCACUUACACUUUUGUUACUCAGAGAGGAGAACAAGAACUGGACUGGACUGUGACUGAGGACCUUCCUGUCCUAGUGAAAGUAGCAAUUCCUCCUUGAGGUCAGAGAUUGCAGCAUCUGAGGGCCUCUUCAAAAGAAGAUGUAGUUGAUGAAGGUGUUCUGGAGCAGGACCAGAAAGACCACGACCAAGCAGCCUUGAGAUCUUAGGCAGCAUCUCCCUCAGGUCCCUCUCUAUCUCCUCACACAUCCACCAACCACUGGAACACAUCUCCAAAGUUCUGCCGGGCCAGCUCAGCUUCCCCUCAGAAGAAGUGGCGCCACCUGCCAGAUGAAGGAGCCUUUUGAGAGGCAGCUGGCAUCGUGAUUGGACUGUACUUUGGUCUGUUCCAAUCCAGCUUCAGCUCCAGAGACGGCAGGCGGGACGAGUCAACGGAGGCCAGGUGGACGAAGACCAAAGAACUACAGACUCUUCACAACCUGCUCAAACUCUUGGUACAGGACCUCACCACACGGGUCAAGAAGGUUUCCAUCUCAUUUCUACUCUGAAGAUCACCUUCUCCUGCUCAAACUGCUGACAAAUGUUUCUGCUGCUCUAAAGUCUGGUCUCCAGAACUUCCUAAAAACUGUCAAAGUCUCUUCUGCUGCAGGUUGCUUUGUAGAACUGUUCCAGAAAACCUCACUAAACCACAUGGAGGGGCCUCAAGAUAGUCGUCCAAAUGAAACCAUACAAAAACCAAACUAGCACAACCCAAACGCUAAAGUCUCCUACAGCCUACCAGAGAACCUCUGAGAACAGAGAAUCAGGACAGGAACUCUUACCUUCUGGACAACCAGCGUUGCUUCACAAACAAGAAUACAGAAUGUGUCUGACCAAAAACCUCUGAAGACUCACUACAGCCAAGAUAAAGACACAACUCAGCUGAACCAAACCCACUAAUCACUGCACACAUUAGCACCAUGUGCUGACUGUGGCUAAAGAACCACAUUUACCAAGACAACUAUCCAGUACAAAGCCCUAAAACACACCAAGAAACACAUUAAAGACGAUUUUACUGCUGGAAGCUGCAAGCCAACACCUAAAGAACAAACUAGAGCAACAGAGCCAAACCCGGUUCUGUGGUGAAGAGAAGCAGAGGAAAUGUUUUACUGCAGCCAAAUAAAGCAGGAAGACAGUGAGUUGCUCAGGUGUUCCUGAUAACACCAAGCAGCCACCUGGACAGCCAAUAGGAACACAGCUUACUGGAAGUCCAGAGGGCUGGGUUAGUGAAGGAAAUUUAAUUUAAAGUUGAAGCAGAAAGUUAACAAAGAAAGUUGAAAACCACCUUCUGAUACCUGAAAUCUCUGAGUUUUCACACAAAGAACACCUGAACAUGUCAAACUGGUUCCAUAGUAGAACCCUCAUUGUAAAAACGUCAUAGUAUGGUGUGUUGCUCAAAAAACAUUAUGACCCAGCUGUCUAGGGUUGCCGAGGAGCAACACAAAAACAGGACAAACGCUGGUUUCCAGGGGGUUAGGCGGCUAUUUAUUUGAAAGAGUAAGUUUACAACAACACAACAUGUGAGCAGAAAAUCACAAAGUCUAUCUUUAGUUCAACUGAAAAUAUUAGUUUUUGUCUUUUUUAUUGACCAAACUUUUCAGAAAGUAGAUGAAGAAUAAUUUAAAGCUCUCAUGUAGAAGUCCAACUUAUUUUGGAUCCUUGUGGAGAGUUUAAUCUUGGAGUUUGUAAAGCUGUUGAGUUUUCAGAGUCACAUGGAUUGUUUUGACAUUUAAUAACCGAGUCCUGAAAUAAAAUUACAGUUGUGGAUUUCUGUCAUUUAGUCUGGACUAAACAAAUAACAGCAGCAUAAAUCUCAAACAUCAUUAUGAGGAGUCUGGAUUGAGGUUUCUCUCUUGAUAAUGAUCAAAACAUGAACUUUAGGUUGGUUUAAAGGAAUAUUCCACCUUAAAUCUUUGAAUGUUGACCUAAAGGUUGGUUUCAGGAAGUAUUCCACCUACAAGGUCCUCAAACAUCCACCUUAAAGGAACAUUCCACCAAAAAUCCUUGGACAUGCACCUAAAAUGUAGGUUUAACCGGAUAUUCCAUCCAAAAUCCUCAGAGACCUGAGGGGCUGAUUAAAAGGAAUAUUCCACCUAAAACCCAUCCUCGUAGGACUCCUCCUGUAGUCUUGAGGGGACCACAGGAACAUUCAGUAGCUUUUGGAGUUCUUUCUGUCAGGCUCGUGGUAGAACGGCUCUGAAGAAUCUUGUACUUGUCUUAUCUGGAACAAUCUAACAGCCUAAACUGUUAACAGCGGUGUAAAGAAGCAAACACACAGACAUAGAUUAGGACUCAAACUAGAUUUAUUUUAGAAAACAAAUCAGCUUAGAGGCAUUUGUUCACACGUGGCUGAAUAGGAGGCCGUCCAAUCAGAUUUGAGGUCUUCACUCUGUAGGUUGUUUGUUUGGUGAGACUCUUGGACCUCCAUCAGCUGACAUGGAUGUUUGAUGGUCUUCCUCUCUAGUGCCAGAUGAUUCAUCCAUGAAUUCAGCAGCUACAGACUGAAAUGAAGCUAAUGCUGCCGUUACUGAAUUCCUGUUCCAGAUCAAAU
ensembl:lncRNA